CAGUUCAAAAAGCCUCAGCGUCUGGAAGAGCUGCCACGACAGCGUGGUGAGCCGGUUACCAGAGAGGUCUCUGUUGCGCAGAUGAGUGGUAU